GAAUCGUGGCUCAAUGGUAGAGCAUCGGGAUGGAAAGCCGAAAGUCCAGGGUUCGAUUCCUAUAAGAGUCA
rnacentral:tRNA from 1 species